AUGGUUUCUCUUGCGAGUUUGUGCGGGUGCCGCAGUAGGAAAACCCAUGAAGACAUUCUUGACAUUAGGAAGAGUUUGCUGUAUACUUGCGCAACUAGCGAUGUGUUUGACGUUGACUUUCGGGGUUUGUUUGGCAUCGCACCUUGUGAGUGGCUGGAUCUUGGUGAGCCUGACUACAGGUUCUUUGGCAGCCAGUUCUCGGAAAGAUCUGGUGUUAUGAAGGGGCAGUUGGGAGCUCUGAGAGGUUCUACGGUUGCUUGUGCAGAGAGCCCCACUACACCAAAGAAUCCCAUUGUGGAAUUGAUAGAUAGCGAUGAUGAUGUCUUUGACAAGAUUUCUGGCGUGGGAAGAGUCACAAGGAGCGCUGCUGCCAAAGGUUUAUCUCCACUUGCUGGAAUAGUGGCUCGUAGAGCUGGUGGUGCUAGGAAAGAUCCUGCUUUGGAUUCUGGCAAUGUUGUAAGCACGAAGCGUGUGCCCAGAGCUCCUAUAAAGUUUUGCUCCCCUAUGCAACAGCUUCACCCUCAUAAAUUACCUCACCUGGACACGGCUCACAAGUUGUAUAAUUUGUUGCUUAGUGAUGAAUGGCGUGAGAAGUAUGCUGAGUGA
rnacentral:rRNA from 1 species